GUGAGUGCACACUAUAUCUGCUAUAACGUAUGCCCACAGAACAUUUGUUUUCAUCCAUAUUUGAAAUUGAGUGUCAUGAAAGUAAUUUUAAACAAAAAGUGGACAAUUUACUUGCGAACGGCUUGCAUGCUGUCAUUAUUAUACAUCAACAUCAGCGUGAACUCAAGUUUGUUUCUAUAUCUCUUGCAGUUACAGGUUUCAGACAUGAACUUUGUGAAAAAGGCUCAGAAUAAAAUGCAGAUAUCAGUUUAAAAUUUAUAACAACAUGUUUGUCCCUUCAUGUUAAGAAAAAUGAAUAAUGCUGCCCCGAAGAUCAGCAAGUUUCUCUAAGUUGACCAAUGUCUUCAUUCUGAAGAUUGUGGAGGAACCUUCUAGGAGAUGCUUGAGUUUGAUCCAGAAUGGCUGGCCAUCCUGAAAUGGACAGACAAACCUUCAGAAACCCUCCCACAGUUGCUGGAACCCUCCGCUGGACAACAGACUACACAGCAGAUACAAAACACUUGACAAUGAUCACAAUUGCUCAUUUUCUGAAAGCUUUCUGAUACCACAUAUUCGUUUCUAUUUCUAAAUGUUUUAGCAUCCUGUUCCUCUGCUUCUUUCAGGUGGGAUUUCAGCCCUUCAGACAGACAUCUAUGUCCUGGUGAAGGGCAAAGUGAACAGACUUACAGGGAGGAGUUUUUUCAACUUCCUUGAUGACUUGAAGUUUCAGAAGAACUGCAUUUACGGGAAUUAAAAAUGUAAGACAAUAUAAAUGACUUUAUCCUCACUUUUGUUCAAUGUAAAGUAUCCUUCGCUAAAUAAAACUGUUCAUUUUAAAGUGUUCUUUGACAAAAAAGAAGAAAAGGGAAAAUUUACUCAUUCCAAGCUGUUAAAUAUUGUAAUAUAAUGUUAAAAAAGCUUUGUUAUUUCUUCAUUAAGUUAGCUUAAUAGAUGGGGUUUCCUAUAAAAAUAAUCAACUGAUCGUGUUAAAAUCAGAGAUUUGACUCAUUUUAGAUUUUGUACAUUUCUCUGGUAAUUAGUCAAUAGUUUUUUUUUUUGUUUGUUUUUUUUUGUAAAUUACUGGUGACAUUUCCUAAAUAUAGAAAUGACGUUUAAACAUUUCUCUCUCUUUUUUAACUAAAAUAACAAGAUAGUAUCAAGUUUUCAUACAUGCUCAUUUUACUCGACACAGUACUAAUGUUUUAGCUUUAGAGGAGUUUUCAGUCACAGCGAGUUUUUCUGGCAGCUGCCAUUUUCUGAAGAAAUGCUCUAAACCACAAUAUUUUUACUUGAAAUGUUAAAGAGAUGUUAUCAGACCAUAAUAGAAUAAAAUGCAUAUGAACAUUUUACUUAAACCCAUA